CUAGCCGUAAACGAUGGAUACUAGGCGUUGUGAGUAUCGACCCUCACAGUGUCGUAGCUAACGCGUUAAGUAUCCCGUCUGGGGAGUACGCGCGCAAGCGUGAAACUCAAAGGAAUUGACGGGGGCCCGCACAAGCGGUGGAGUAUGUGGUUUAAUUCGAUGCAACGCGAAGAACCUUACCAGGACUUGACAUGUCGCGAAUCUCAGGGAAACUUGAGAGUGCCUUCGGGAGCGCGAACACAGGUGGUGC
rnacentral:rRNA from 1 species